rnacentral:rRNA from 1 species
ACAAACGCUGGCGGCAUGCCUAACACAUGCAAGUCGAACGAGACCUUCGGGUCUAGUGGCGCACGGGUGCGUAACGCGUGGGAAUCUGCCCUUGGGUCCGGGAAUAACUCAGAGAAAUUUGAGCUAAUACCGGAUGAUGACGUAAGUCCAAAGAUUUAUCGCCCAGGGAUGAGCCCGCCGUAAGAUUAGGUAGUUGGUGGG